rnacentral:lncRNA from 1 species
CAAAUAAUUAAUGAAAGACGUGUGAAUUUAAUUGUUUAAUCAAAAAGACGUUGAAAUGUUCGUAUUUUGUGCAAUUGAAAAUUUAAGGACAUGACUUAUAUUCAUAUAAGAUCAUAUAAGAAAUCAGACGAUACCAAGAGAAUAAUUUAAUCUCUAGUGCAACACUUACAAGUCGGAAGAACAAAGACGGAAAACAAACAAAAAAUAAAAAAAUUAUGCCCCAAAAAUUACUCAUUUACUUAAAAAUUCUAACAUUUAUCUUAAAAUAAGUAAAAAUUAUGUCAUUCAACUCCCAGUUUUCAACUUUUUCUACAUGUGCAGAAAAUAAAACAGGUGUCUUCUAUUCCGUCCGCAAUUUAUGGGAAAACUAAAUCUAAAUUUAGAACCAUAUUGAAAUUGAAAGUACACAUGUAAG